rnacentral:rRNA from 1 species
AUUGAACGCUGGCGGCAGGCCUAACACAUGCAAGUCGAACGAGUGGCGGACGGGUGAGUAAUGUCUGGGAAACUGCCUGAUGGAGGGGGAUAACCACUGGAAACGGUAGCUAAUACCGCAUACCAUCAGAUGUGCCCAGAUGGGAUUCGCGAGGUGGUGUGGUAACGGCUCACCAAGGCGACGAUCCCUAGCUGGUCUGAGAGGAUGACCGUCCACACGGGAACUUAGACACGGCCCAGACUCCUACGGGAGGCAGCAGUGGGGAAUAUUGCACAAUGGGCUCAAGCCUGAUGCCGCCAGGCCGCGUGUGUGAAGAGGGCCUUCGGGUUGUAAAGUACUUUCAGCGGGGAGGCGUUACCCGCAGAAGAAGCACCGGCUAACUCCGUGCCAGCAGCCGCGGUAAUAC